GGUUUAAUUCGAAGCAACGCGAAGAACCUUACCAGGUCUUGACAUCCUCUGACAACCCUAGAGAUAGGGCUUCCCCUUCGGGGGCAGAGUGACAGGUGGUGCAUGGUUGUCGUCAGCUCGUGUCGUGAGAUGUUGGGUUAAGUCCCGCAACGAGCGCAACCCUUGAUCUUAGUUGCCAGCAUUCAGUUGGGCACUCUAAGGUGACUGCCGGUGACAAACCGGAGGAAGGUGGGGAUGACGUCAAAUCAUCAUGCCCCUUAUGACCUGGGCUACACACGUGCUACAAUGGGCAGAACAAAGGGCAGCGAAGCCGCGAGGCUAAGCCAAUCCCACAAAUCUGUUCUCAGUUCGGAUCGCAGUCUGCAACUCGACUGCGUGAAGCUGGAAUCGCUAGUAAUCGCGGAUCAGCAUGCCGCGGUGAAUACGUUCCCGGGCCUUGUACACACCGCCCGUCACACCACGAGAGUUUGUAACACCCGAAGUCGGUGAGGUAACCUUUUGGAGCCAGCCGCCGAAGGUGGGACAGAUGA
rnacentral:rRNA from 1 species